rnacentral:tRNA from 1 species
GGCAGCAUGGCAUGGUGGUUUAAGUGUUGGACUGUGACUCUAGAGACCAGGGUUUGAUUCCCAGCUUGGGCA